rnacentral:miRNA from 1 species
UGAAGCUGCCAGCAUGAUCUCA